GUAGGUGGCAAGCGUUGUCCGGGAAUUAUUGGGGCGUAAAGCGCGCGCAGGCGGUUCUUUAAGUCUGAUGUGAAAGCCCACGGGCUCAACCGUGGAGGGUCAUUGGAAACUGGAGAACUUGAGUACAGAAGAGGAAAGCGGAAUUCCACGUGUAGCGGUGAAAUGCAUAGAGAUGUGGAGGAACACCAGUGGCGAAGGCGGCUUUCUGGUCUGUAACUGACGCUGAGGCGCGAAAGCGUGGGGAGCAAACAGGAUUAGAUACCCUGGUAGUCCACGCCGUAAACGAUGAGUGCUAAGUGUUAGGGGGUUUCCGCCCCUUAGUGCUGCAGCUAACGCAUUAAGCACUCCGCCUGGGGAGUACGGCCGCAAGGCUG
rnacentral:rRNA from 1 species